rnacentral:siRNA from 1 species
UGGAACGAGACGGGUGGCA